rnacentral:pre_miRNA from 1 species
CGGGACUUCGCGGGACAGACGGUUCAAUUUUGUAUCCUACUGGCUCUCUAAGUCCUGAU